rnacentral:rRNA from 1 species
UACAUGGGGUGCAAACGUUGCUCGGAAUUAUUGGGCGUAAAGCGCGCGUAGGCGGUUACUUAAGUCGGAUGUGAAAGCCCUCGGCUUAACUGAGGAAGUGCACCCGAAACUGAGUAGCUAGAGUACGAAAGAGGGUCGCGGAAUUCCCGGUGUAGAGGUGAAAUUCGUAGAUAUCGGGAGGAACACCGGUGGCGAAGGCGGCGACCUGGGUCGAGACUGACGCUGAGGCGCGAAAGCGUGGGGAUCAAACAGG